CACAAUCACCGCGAACUUCGUGCUCGGGAAGACGGGCAACCGCUUAGCGGUUGCACUUGAAUUGUUGAUUCCAGUUCCUUCGGAAUCGUCAGCCAAGUAGAAAACCGUCGCCGCCGCGCGACUGUAGGGCGGAUUCAGUGUAUGCGCGGGCCACUGCGGGCCAGUCGCUCCAUCGCUGGGCGACACCGCGGGAAGGCCCCGCAACGGUCCUCAUUCGAAAGGGCCGGAGCUACCGCCAAGCCAGGAGACCGGCGAAGUUCGCAGCCGUGCG
rfam:Acidobacteria bacterium 13_2_20CM_57_17 13_2_20cm_scaffold_651, whole genome shotgun sequence.